rnacentral:lncRNA from 10 species
CGUGUGCCCGGUGCUGGCCUGCGUUGGAUGAGGAAAUGAAAACACAGAGAGGAGAAGGCACUCGCCUGAGGUACCCUGCCAGACGCUGGGGACGGGCUCACACGCAGCGGCCCAAAGCCUGCUGCCUCUCGGAGCAGCGGGGGUCUGGGACGGAUAUUGAGGCACAGGGCCUUGGACGUGCCCGUGGAGCUGCUCAGCCAGUGGGGAGUUAGCCAGCGUUUUACAGGCAAAGCUGCGGAGCUGUGCUGGUGCCUGUGUGUGAGUAUUUACAUGCAGUUUGUUACUUGGGGAAAUCAUGUACUCUUCUCACUGCUUCUGGCUGUGCAGAACACAAACUCAGAUCUGGAAUCUUCUCACUGCUUCUGGCUGUGCAGAACACAAACUCAGAUCUGGAAGCAAAGGGCAGAUGCCGUGCAGAGCGUCAGAAAGCACUGCAAACCUCAGACCAGAGGGAAGCCGGGUUUUUAAACCAUCUUCCUGCAAGCCUUUUCAGGAGGACCAAAAUUAGACCAGGUGGUUGAAGGAGGGUGGGUACAGCUGAUGCUCCAAUUCAGUCAGCUUUUAACGUGGCUCCUUCAAGCAACUGCUGCCAACCCGCUGUGCUCACCCAUCCUGGUUGGGAAGGAACCUGCUGUUCUCAACAAGCCGAGUGUCCCUGCCCCCAGCCCCCGCAUGGCUGAGGCUGCCCGUGUGUCAGUGGUGCAGGGUUGUUGAGGGUGCAGCACAGAGUGUGGUGAUGAUGCCGCCUCCAUCCCCAUUGCUCCAGGGCCAGGACUUGGAUCCAGAGUGGGAGGAGCUUCAGCUGGGAGGGUGGCUGAGCAGCCAGGGAGUGCAUCCGUCCCUGGACUGGGGAGACCCCACUGCUGAGGGGCAACAGGAGUGCAUUCUAUUGCAGACAAACUGCAGGUCCACUCUGACUUCUGUCUUUUCAAGCCUGGCUCUCUCUCUACCACUUCUGAGGUCCUGGCCUUGCCUUGCCGCGAUGGCUGCUGUCUGCACCUCAAAGCUCAUGCUAUUGCUUGGCCCUCUUCUCAAUUUCCUGUUUUGUUUCUGCCUUCUGUGGUAUCUCCCA